GGGUUGUGAGGUUAAGCGACUAAGCGUACACGGUGGAUGCCCUGGCAGUCAGAGGCGAUGAAGGACGUGCUAAUCUGCGAAAAGCGUCGGUAAGGUGAUAUGAACCGUUAUAACCGGCGAUGUCCGAAUGGGGAAACCCAGUGUGAUUCGUCACACUAUCGUUAACUGAAUACAUAGGUUAACGAGGCGAACCGGGGGAACUGAAACAUCUAAGUACCCCGAGGAAAAGAAAUCAACCGAGAUUCCCCCAGUAGCGGCGAGCGAACGGGGAGCAGCCCAGAGUCUGAAUCAGCUUGUGUGUUAGUGGAACGGUCUGGAAAGUCCGACGGUACAGGGUGAUAGUCCCGUACACCAAAAUGCACAGGUUGUGAACUCGAAGAGUAGGGCGGGACACGUGGUAUCCUGUCUGAAUAUGGGGGGACCAUCCUCCAAGGCUAAAUACUCCUGACUGACCGAUAGUGAACCAGUACCGUGAGGGAAAGGCGAAAAGAACCCCGGCGAGGGGAGUGAAAAAGAACCUGAAACCGUGUACGUACAAGCAGUGGGAGCACCUUCGGGUGUGACUGCGUACCUUUUGUAUAAUGGGUCAGCGACUUAUAUUCUGUAGCAAGGUUAACCGUAUAGGGGAGCCGCAGGGAAACCGAGUCUUAACUGGGCGUUAAGUUGCAGGGUAUAGACCCGAAACCCGGUGAUCUAGCCAUGGGCAGGUUGAAGGUUGGGUAACACUAACUGGAGGACCGAACCGACUAAUGUUGAAAAAUUAGCGGAUGACUUGUGGCUGGGGGUGAAAGGCCAAUCAAACCGGGAGAUAGCUGGUUCUCCCCGAAAGCUAUUUAGGUAGCGCCUCGUGAACUCAUCUUCGGGGGUAGAGCACUGUUUCGGCUAGGGGGUCAUCCCGACUUACCAACCCGAUGCAAACUACGAAUACCGAAGAAUGUUAUCACGGGAGACACACGGCGGGUGCUAACGUCCGUCGUGAAGAGGGAAACAACCCAGACCGCCAGCUAAGGUCCCAAAGUCAUGGUUAAGUGGGAAACGAUGUGGGAAGGCACAGACAGCCAGGAUGUUGGCUUAGAAGCAGCCAUCAUUUAAAGAAAGCGUAAUAGCUCACUGGUCGAGUCGGCCUGCGCGGAAGAUGUAACGGGGCUAAACCAUGCACCGAAGCUGCGGCAGCGACGCUUAUGCGUUGUUGGGUAGGGGAGCGUUCUGUAAGCCUGCGAAGGUGGCCUGUGAGGGCUGCUGGAGGUAUCAGAAGUGCGAAUGCUGACAUAAGUAACGAUAAAGCGGGUGAAAAGCCCGCUCGCCGGAAGACCAAGGGUUCCUGUCCAACGUUAAUCGGGGCAGGGUGAGUCGACCCCUAAGGCGAGGCCGAAAGGCGUAGUCGAUGGGAAACAGGUUAAUAUUCCUGUACUUGGUGUUACUGCGAAGGGGGGACGGAGAAGGCUAUGUUAGCCGGGCGACGGUUGUCCCGGUUUAAGCAUGUAGGCGGAGGUUCCAGGUAAAUCCGGUACCUUUUAACGCUGAGGUGUGAUGACGAGGCACUACGGUGCUGAAGUAACAAAUGCCCUGCUUCCAGGAAAAGCCUCUAAGCAUCAGGUAACAUCAAAUCGUACCCCAAACCGACACAGGUGGUCAGGUAGAGAAUACCAAGGCGCUUGAGAGAACUCGGGUGAAGGAACUAGGCAAAAUGGUGCCGUAACUUCGGGAGAAGGCACGCUGGUGUGUAGGUGAAGUCCCUGCGGAUGGAGCUGAGACCAGUCGAAGAUACCAGCUGGCUGCAACUGUUUAUUAAAAACACAGCACUGUGCAAACACGAAAGUGGACGUAUACGGUGUGACGCCUGCCCGGUGCCGGAAGGUUAAUUGAUGGGGUUAUCCGUAAGGAGAAGCUCUUGAUCGAAGCCCCGGUAAACGGCGGCCGUAACUAUAACGGUCCUAAGGUAGCGAAAUUCCUUGUCGGGUAAGUUCCGACCUGCACGAAUGGCGUAAUGAUGGCCAGGCUGUCUCCACCCGAGACUCAGUGAAAUUGAACUCGCUGUGAAGAUGCAGUGUACCCGCGGCAAGACGGAAAGACCCCGUGAACCUUUACUAUAGCUUGACACUGAACAUUGAGCCUUGAUGUGUAG
rnacentral:rRNA from 1 species